AUUGAACGCUGGCGGCAUGCCUUACACAUGCAAGUCGAACGGUAACGCGGGGCAACCUGGCGACGAGUGGCGAACGGGUGAGUAACGCAUCGGAACGUGCCCAGUAGUGGGGGGUAGCCCGGCGAAAGCCGGAUUAAUACCGCAUACGACCUACGGGUGAAAGGGGGGGAUCGCAAGACCUCUCGCUAUUGGAGCGGCCGAUGUCAGAUUAGGUAGUUGGUGGGGUAAAGGCCUACCAAGCCUGCGAUCUGGAGCUGGUCUGAGAGGACGACCAGCCACACUGGGACUGAGACACGGCCCAGACUCCUACGGGAGGCAGCAGUGGGGAAUUUUGGACAAUGGGCGCAAGCCUGAUCCAGCCAUGCCGCGUGCGGGAAGAAGGCCUUCGGGUUGUAAACCGCUUUUGUCAGGGAAGAAAAGCCUUGGGUUAAUACCCUGGGGUGAUGACGGUACCUGAAGAAUAAGCACCGGCUAACUACGUGCCAGCAGCCGCAGUAA
rnacentral:rRNA from 1 species